GACGAACGCUGGCGGCGUGCUUAACACAUGCAAGUCGAACGGAAAGGCCCUGCUUUUGUGGGGUGCUCGAGUGGCGAACGGGUGAGUAACACGUGAGUAACCUGCCCUUGACUUUGGGAUAACUUCAGGAAACUGGGGCUAAUACCGGAUAGGAGCUCCUGCUGCAUGGUGGGGGUUGGAAAGUUUCGGCGGUUGGGGAUGGACUCGCGGCUUAUCAGCUUGUUGGUGGGGUAGUGGCUUACCAAGGCUUUGACGGGUAGCCGGCCUGAGAGGGUGACCGGCCACAUUAGGACUGAGAUACGGCCCAGACUCCUACGGGAGGCAGCAGUGGGGAAUAUUGCACAAUGGGCGGAAGCCUGAUGCAGCAACGUCGCGUGCGGGAUGACGGCCUUCGGGUUGUAAACCGCUUUCGCCUGUGACGAAGCGUGAGUGACGGUAAUGGGUAAAGAAGCACCGGCUAACUACGUG
rnacentral:rRNA from 1 species